CUCUGCGUUAUAAUAGGUUCUUUCAUUUUAUUGCUUAUUGUAAACACUUUGGCCACAGCAAAUGUUAGUUUUUAAAUAACCAUAAUUCAAAGCUUUCACAUCCUAUACUAUUUUUCCCCAAGCAUCAUCAUCUAUGAAAACAACCAGUGAACUCCAACAGUCUAUACUUGUAAUGUGCGCAUUUAUGCUAUUAUGCCACUUAAUACAAAUAGUAAAAAUACUCAUCUAUUGUAGGCUUAUGGGUUUGUAAAAUGCCUUAUGGGAGGCCAUAAACAACUCAAAGAAGAGAGAUGGUGUGGACUGAACUGGCUUCUAUUUGGGGAAAAUCUGCAGAACGUAGGAGGUAUGCAGUAAAUGUUUAUUGAUGGUGAAGAUGAUAAAACUCUUAUCUGCUGGUCUUUCCUUUCCAUUUUUCUGAAAGAAUAUAUGGUAUAUUUGUAUUCAGCAUUCUCAGAAUCAUCACAGGGACCCUGGCACUUUGAGAGUCAUAGCUGCAGUGUAAUUGGGUCUGACCACAUGCAGAAGAAAAAUAAAUUAAAGCAUGGGUACUAUUAAAAUUGUGCUGAAAACUUUAUGUAAGUCGGGGAGCCCCUCACUAGAACAGGCUGAAACUCCUGAAUGCUUCGCAUCCUCAUGUAUAAGAAAAUAAUCAGUGCUUAAAAAUCAAGGAAGUCAUUCAAAACAAAUUCAGCCUUUGGACCUUACUGGCAGGUAGAUUAUAUUUCAGUCAGAUCAAUAUCUUUCUAAUAUAGGUAUUUGAAAGUAAUAUAUACUACUUAUAAUAAUGAUGUAGUAAGCUUCUUAUCUGCAAGUAUAGGUACUAUAACUUAAACCUUGAAAUGCUUCAUUUGAUUCUUUCAUUCAGCAAAAUUCUUGGCACUUUUUGGGAUUUCACUGAAUUUUGAUGAUGAUAUUGGAUUAAACAUUUUAGAUUUAAUCAUAAAAUGACACAAAAAUCUAAUCAUCUAUUUCCAAUGUUCAAUAUACAAUUUUUAUAAAUACCUGAAACAACUCAUAUAAAAAUAUAAAAUGUUAAGGUCACUCACAGCAAAAUACAGCACAUUAGAAUUAUUUAUUAUACAUAUAAAGGUAGGCACUUCAUAAAAAUUGCAUUUUGGCAAAAGGCAACAGUUUGAUGUCAGUAUCUUAAUUUUGUUAUUAACUUUUUUAAGAGAAUAGAUUAUCAAAAUUUUACAAAAAGAUAAAAAUAAUAGUUUCAAAGAUUUCCACAGAAGGGAAUCUGAACUUCAUUUCCCACUCUUCCUUCUUUUUGCAAGCCUAUUGUGUAUCUUCAUGGUCAAGUUCUGAGAUUUUUGCUCCCUGACCUGAAAUCCUGUGGGAAUAUUUGAUUUCUCAUCUUUUACUCAGAAGUGAUGUGUCUGCUACCUGUGGAACGUGAUACAAUUUUUUUUUUCUCCCCACAGUUGGAAUAACCUUUAUUCUGAUCUACUAUACAGUCAGAUGAUGUUUAGGUGGUAGUAGCUGGCAUUGAAGAGUUCUUGGCUUCAAGUGGUUGUUGAGUCUUUUUGGUCUUGUUUUAACUCUGUAAUUAAAUAAAUAAGAUCCAACUCUUUCUGUUGUAUUCACUAUUGAACACAUAGAAAUUCACUUCACACCCACCUAAAACACAAGCAGAACUUCUGAGGCCCAAUGAACCCAUCUACUAUUUGAUUUUGUUAUCCCUUCUGGAGCAUGUCUCUACCAAGAGCUUCACAAAGCAAUCUAGUCGUUG
rnacentral:lncRNA from 1 species